rnacentral:lncRNA from 1 species
ACAAGUGCUCUAGAAUGACUGCUUCAUAGGAGAGCUGUUACCUAGACACAGGAGAGAAAUGAACAUGUAAAGCAAGGACAGAUGGUUCCGAGGAGAACUUAAUUGAGAUGAUUGGAGAAGGAAUGAAGGAACAGGGGAAAGAAACUGAGAAGCAUGAAUGGGAGGAGGGGAUGGAGGCAGAAAUAUCCAGUGCUUCCCAGAGGCAAUGACAAUAUGAUAAUCCUUCAUAAAAGGCAGAAAAAUAGGGAAACAACAAGAGGAGGAAAGAAUGAGAACCCUUGGUCAUGAACAGGAGAAUGUUUAUGAGGAUUUGGAAACUGGGGAGCAUGAGACUUCCUCUUGGGAGAGUUGAAAUAGGGGUAACAUAAAGUGGCACACGAAGAACAUUCAGCCUAAGUGAGAAGAAACAAAUCCCGAUUUAUGUCAAUCAUUGGCAUAUAAUAUAAAGGCCAGUCUAGCAGCUACUUUUUGCCCUUACAACAUGUCAUUGUGCCUUGAGCUUUUUCCAUCUCUUUAAGGCAGACUCCUUUCAUGUGCUAGCUGUACUUAAAAAGCAGCAGUGAACAGAAAGCAAAAUUAACCCAGUAUAUUACAAACCAAGAAAUGAUGACAAGAAGGUAACAGCUAUACUGCUGCAAGACUGGAAAGGCAUCUUCAGAGAUGUAGGUCCCAAGUGCCCUGUCAUUUACUUCCUGUCCAAGCACUGAGCAGAUGGAAUUACACAAGUUCGGCUGUAUUAAACCACCCUCUAAUGCCUUCGUUAAACUCCAGGAUUUUAGAGUCUGUCCAGUUUCUGGCAGGGACCUUUCCAUACUUCCACCCCCAAAGCUGUAAAUUAC